AGUGAACGCUGGCGGUAGGCCUAACACAUGCAAGUCGAACGGCAGCACAGUAAGAGCUUGCUCUUACGGGUGGCGAGUGGCGGACGGGUGAGGAAUACAUCGGAAUCUACUUUUUCGUGGGGGAUAACGUAGGGAAACUUACGCUAAUACCGCAUACGACCUACGGGUGAAAGCAGGGGAUCUUCGGACCUUGCGCGAUUGAAUGAGCUGAUGUCGGAUUAGCUAGUUGGCGGGGUAAAGGCCCACCAAGGCGACGAUCCGUAGCUGGUCUGAGAGGAUGAUCAGCCACACUGGAACUGAGACACGGUCCAGACUCCUACGGGAGGCAGCAGUGGGGAAUAUUGGACAAAGGGCGCAAGCCUGAUCCAGCCAUACCGCGUGGGUGAAGAAGGCCUUCGGGUUGUAAAGCCCUUUUGUUGGGAAAGAAAAGCAGCAGGUUAAUACCCCGCUGUUCUGACGGUACCCAAAGAAUAAGCACCGGCUAACUUCGUG
rnacentral:rRNA from 1 species